rnacentral:rRNA from 1 species
GACGAACGCUGGCGGCGUGCCUAAUACAUGCAAGUCGAGCGGACGGAUGGGAGCUUGCUCCCAGACCGUCAGCGGCGGACGGGUGAGUAACACGUGGGCAACCUGCCUGUAAGACUGGGAUAACUCCGGGAAACCGGGGCUAAUACCGGAUAACUCUUUCCCUCACAUGAGGGAAAGCUGAAAGAUGGCAUCUCGCUAUCACUUACAGAUGGGCCCGCGGCGCAUUAGCUAGUUGGUGAGGUAACGGCUCACCAAGGCGACGAUGCGUAGCCGACCUGAGAGGGGGAGCGGCCACACUGGGACUGAGACACGGCCCAGACUCCUACGGGAGGCAGCAGUAGGGAAUCUUCCGCAAUGGACGAAAGUCUGACGGAGCAACGCCGCGUGAGUGAUGAAGGUUUUCGGAUCGUAAAACUCUGUUGUCAGGGAAGAACAAGUACCGGAGUAACUGCCGGUACCUUGACGGUACCUGACCAGAAAGCCACGGCGAACUACGU